rnacentral:lncRNA from 1 species
AUCUCUGAGAACUUUUGGAUACCCAGAACCCAACUGUCAAAAUACAUAAGAUGAAGUAUGGAUGAAUCAGAAUCAGAGGUAAGCCUGGCCUUCAGAUUCUAGAGAAGGCUUUUGUUUCCCCAAGUUAGGGUGGAACCCAUGAGCUGAAGCCUGUGAAACCAGAAGACAAGAAAAGUAUUUCAGCAGCCAGUGGUCUACGUAGGGAAGAAUAUAGAACCUGUGUCAAUUGGGCCAAGAUGUCUUGGAUUUCAGACACUCUUAAGACUUUGUACUUCAGGAAAGGAUAAAAGAUUAAUCUGAAAAGGGAUGGGUAAGAUCUCCUGGCAAAGAAUGGGAGUCCCAAUUGGAAAUGGGGAGAAAUGUGGAGUGUAUGCAUUUCCAAAUACUGAGCACAAGCAAAUGGUCCUCAUCAGGUAGGGUGGAUUUUGCCCAAAAAUAGUAUUAUUAUUUGUUCUAUUAUUUUUAAGCAUGAAAAAUGAAUUUAGGGUCAGCUAUUUAGAAUUUGGGAAUGCACUCUAUGGGCUGAUUUUCUAGCAAAGAGAAAAUGGAUUAUGAUGAUGUGCCAUUUUGGG